rnacentral:rRNA from 1 species
UUAAGCAAAGAAGAGCGCAGGGUGGAUGCCUUGGCACUAAGAGCCGAAGAAAGACGUGAUAAGCUGCGAAAAGCUGCGGGGAGAUGCAAAUAAUCCUUGAUCCGCAGAUGUCUGAAUGGGGAAACCCGGUACGAAGAACUCGUAUCAUCCAUACGCCAAUCCAUAACGUAUGGAGGGGAACCCGGUGAACUGAAACAUCUAAGUAGCCGGAGGAAGAGAAAGAAACAUCGAUUUUGUUAGUAGCGGCGAGCGAAAGCGAAAGAGGCCAAACCGGAGUGCGUGCACUCCGGGGUUCGGACCGCAUUUAAGAUUCAGUGAUUCUAGCAGAAAGGUUUGGGAAAGCCUGCCGGAGAGGGUGAAAGCCCCGUAAGCGAAAGGAGAGCUGACUGAGCGGGAUCCAGAGUACAUCGAGACACGAGAAACCUUGAUGGAAUGAGCGGGGACCACCCCGUAAGCCUAAAUACUACUUAGUGACCGAUAGCGCAUAGUACUGUGAAGGAAAGGUGAAAAGGACCCCGGGAGGGGAGUGAAAGAGAACCUGAAACCCUGUGUUUACAAGCUGUGGAAGUUCUUUAAAUGAACAACCGCGUACUUUUUGUAGAACGGUCCGGCGAGUUGCGGAUACUGGCAAGGUUAAGCACUUAAGGUGCGGAGCCGAAGGGAUACCAAGUCUUAACAGGGCGUUAAGUCAGUAUACGCAGACCCGAAACCGGGUGAUCUAUCCAUGUCCAGGUUGAAGUUGUCGUAAAAGACAAUGGAGGACCGAAGCCACAUCCGUUGAAAAGGGUGGGCAUGAGGUGUGGAUAGGGGAGAAAUUCCAAUCGAACCCGGAGAUAGCUGGUUCUCCUCGAAAUAGCUUUAGGGCUAGCCUCGAUUUAGUCUUAUGGAGGUAGAGCACUGAAUUUCCGCGGGGGCGUCAAAGCUUACCAAAGAAUAUCAAACUCCGAAUGCCAUGUAGAUGAUGAUCGGGAGUCAGACUGCACGAGAUAAGUUGGGCAGUCAAAAGGGAAAGAGCCCAGACCACCGGCUAAGGUCCCAAAGUGCGUGUUAAGUGGAAAAGGAUGUGGGAAUUCGAAGACAACUAGGAUGUUGGCUCAGAAGCAGCCAUACAUUCAAAGAGUGCGUAACAGCUCACUAGUCGAGAGUUCCUGCGCCGAAAAUGUCCGGGGCUGAAACACGACACCGAAGCCGUGGACUCGCAAUGCGAGUGGUAGAGGAGCAUUCUUAAAACCGACGAAGCUGUACCGGAAGGAGCAGUGGAGGGAUAAGAAGAGAGAAUGCCGGAAUGAGUAGCGAGAGAAAGGUGGGAAUCCUUUCGGCCGAAUAUCUAAGGUUUCCAGAGUAAAGCUGAUCUGCUCUGGGUAAGUCGGGGCCUAAGCACAGGUCGCAAGACGUAAGCGAUGGAUAACAGGUUUAGAUUCCUGUACCACGCAUUAUCAGAACUGUAGGGACGCAUGUGGAAAGCACGAGCCGGGAAUGGAAAGACCGGUACAAGCGGGGUAGGUGUACAAUAGGCAAAUCCGUUGUAUAAUCCGAAGACGUGAUGUGGAGCGAAAUAAAGUAGUGAAGCGUGUGAGCCAUGUGCCGAGAAAAGCUGCUAUUGUGUAAUGCGUGCCCGUACCGUAAACCGACACAGGUGGAUGAGGAGAGAAUCCUAAGGCCGACGGAAGAAGCAUUGUUAAGGAAUUCGGCAAAAUGACCCCGUAACUUCGGGAGAAGGGGUGCCUGCGAGAGCAGGCCGCAGAGAAUAGGCUCAAGCAACUGUUUAGCAAAAACACAGGUCUAUGCGAAACCGAAAGGUGAGGUAUAUGGGCUGACGCCUGCCCGGUGCUGGAAGGUUAAGAGGAGAGGUUAGCGCAAGCGAAGCUUUGAAUUUAAGCCCCAGUAAACGGCGGCCGUAACUAUAACGGUCCUAAGGUAGCGAAAUUCCUUGUCGGGUAAGUUCCGACCC